rnacentral:tRNA from 1 species
GGGGAUCUAGCUCAGUUGGUAGAGCGCCUGCCUUGGAUGCACCAGGUCCCUGGGUUCAACCCCCAGCACCACCA